rnacentral:rRNA from 1 species
AUGUUUUCAGCUGAUAACUCCCGUCGAAACACGUAUGUUCCGUGCAGUGUUAGAGCCAGGCCAGACACCCCUUUUGCCAGUUGUUGGUUAGAGGAGCCCCGCUCAGAGGUUGAGUGGCGCCACAAAUGCCUCACUUUGCAACGGGGACCAUCUUCGACUGUUACGAUUUGGAAAGGAUACGGGAUAAAUGGUAAUACAUUUUACACGAUUGACCAAGAUCAAAAAAGCACCAACCAAAACAGCGGUGUUUGCUUUGAUGCAACAACCGAGAGGGGAAAGGACACAUAUUAUGGUAACAUAGUGGACAUAUGGGAACUUGACUACGGACAUGAGUUUAAGGUCCCUUUGUUUAAGUGCAAAUGGGUCAAUCUGUCAGGAGGCGGGGUACAGGUAGACCCACAGUACGGAAUGACAACAGUGGAUCUGAAAAAUCUUGGGUACACUGACGAACCGUUCGUCCUAGCCAAUGAUGUGGCACAGGUUAUCUAUGUGAAGGACAUGUCUAGCAGACUGAGAAAAAGAAAAGAUAAGGAAGUGAAUACAUCAUACGAUGAGCCAAAGCGCCACAUAGUUCUUUCAGGAAAAAGGGACAUCGUGGGAGUGGACGGCAAGACAGACAUGUCUGAAGAUUAUGAAAAGUUUCAUGAAAUUCCUCCCUUCAAAGUCAAGUCUGACCCAAGCAUCCUGAUAAACGAUGAAGAUUAUCCAUGGUUACGGCGCAAUAAGCAAAUGACACAAGCGAAGAAAAAGUGA